rnacentral:rRNA from 1 species
UAGGGAAUCUUCGGCAAUGGGGGCAACCCUGACCGAGCAACGCCGCGUGAGUGAAGAAGGUUUUCGGAUCGUAAAGCUCUGUUGUAAGAGAAGAACGUGUGUGAGAGUGGAAAGUUCACACAGUGACGGUAACUUACCAGAAAGGGACGGCUAACUACGUGCCAGCAGCCGCGGUAAUACGUAGGUCCCGAGCGUUGUCCGGAUUUAUUGGGCGUAAAGCGAGCGCAGGCGGUUUAAUAAGUCUGAAGUUAAAGGCAGUGGCUUAACCAUUGUUCGCUUUGGAAACUGUUAAAAUUGAGUGCAGAAGGGGAGAGGGGAAUUCCAUGUGUAGCGGUGAAAUGCGUAGAUAUAUGGAGGAACACCGGUGGCGAAAGCGGCUCUCUGGUCUGUAACUGACGCUGAGGCUCGAAAGCGUGGGGAGCAAACAGG